AAUUAACGAGCCGAGCUCGAGCUCGAUAAAUACUCGUUGAGUUAUCGAGCCGAGUAAGCUCGAACUCGAUUCUUUAUCGAGUAGCUCGGUUGAGCUCGACAAAGAAGGGUAUUUGUGUCAUUUUAGCAGUCAACAAGUAGAAAUUUGGACUAGGGUUGAUAUUGCAUCGUCUCAUACUCUCAUUCUUCAUUUCUGCCUCUCCCUCUCCGCUGCACGCCGCACCCAGUAACCCACAGCCGCACCCAGUAACCCACAGCCGCACCCACAGGCCACAGCCCCGCAACGCCGCAGCUCCGCAACCCUGCAACCCUGCAGCCCGGAUCUGGAUCAACCCUGCAACCCCGCAGCUCCGCAACCCUGCCAGCCCCGCAACACCGCAACCCGCAACCAGUAACCCACAGCCGCACCCACAGCCCCGCAACGCCUCAGCUCUGCAACCCCGCAGCCCCGCAACCCCCGCAACCCCGCAGCCCGCAACCCCGCAACACCGUAACCCCGCACUCCACAGCAAGCCGCACUCCACAGCUGCAACCCACAGCAACCUCUGCCUCCACUGCCGCCCACAGCCUCUGUUUUCUGCCAUUAACAACCCCGUCCACGGCCAGGGCCAAAACCAGUCCAAUUUGACUGGUUUCUCUAAUCCUUCGUGAUAUUUGCCUCUCGAACUCAUCAACACUUUUACAACCCUGAAGCAUGUUCACGGCCCUUGGUGGAGGAACUGCAUGUUCUGGUGUCCCGUGGGAGUUGUGUUCAUCAUCAGAACCAGUAUCCGCAUUGCUACCACUGGUUCCACCAUAACUGCGAUCUUCAUCAACCUCCAUGUACUCAUUCCUGUCCAAUUCAUCAGGAUCACUAUCUCCACUAAAGGAUCUAACGCGUUCAUCAGAAGACCUGACCCUAUUUCCCACUGAACCUUCUCUCCUCAGUUCCAUGUACUCAUUCCUUGUGAAGCUGUACUUAUUCUUGUGAUUUCUGAAGGGGUUGUACUUUUUCUUGUCAGGUGUUUGAAGUUGGACAAUUUUUAAGCUAUGUAGCAGUGUUUUACAUGGUUAUUUGGCUGUAGUUUGUGCGUUUAUUUGGCUGGACAAAACCUGUUAUGGUAUAUUGGCUCUUAUGAAUGUUGUUUCAUAUGGAAUUAGACUGUAGUUUGUGUAUUUGUUGACUGCAGCCCUGGAGUUUGUGUUGUAUGGAUCAUGGAUGUUAUGGUCU